rnacentral:rRNA from 1 species
GACGAACGCUGGCGGCGUGCUUAACACAUGCAAGUCGAACGGAAAGGCCCUGCUUUUGUGGGGUGCUCGAGUGGCGAACGGGUGAGUAACACGUGAGUAACCUGCCCUUGACUUUGGGAUAACUUCAGGAAACUGGGGCUAAUACCGGAUAGGAGCUCCUGCUGCAUGGUGGGGGUUGGACAGUUUCGGCGGUUGGGGAUGGACUCGCGGCUUAUCAGCUUGUUGGUGGGGUAGUGGCUUACCAAGGCUUUGACGGGUAGCCGGCCUGAGAGGGUGACCGGCCAAAUUGGGACUGAGAUACGGCCCAGACUCCUACGGGAGGCAGCAGUGGGGAAUAUUGCAAAAUGGGCGGAAGCCUGAUGCAGCAACGCCGCGUGCGGGAUGACGGCCUUCGGGUUGUAAACCGCUUUCGCCUGUGACGAAGCGUGAGUGACGGUAAUGGGUAAAGAAGCACCGGCUAACUACGUG